rnacentral:rRNA from 1 species
UACGUAGGAUGCGAGCGUUGUUCGGAAUUAUUGGGCGUAAAGCGUGCGUAGGCGGCUUGUUAAGUCUGGUGUGAAAGCUAGGGGCUCAACCCCUGUGUUGCACUGGAUACUGGCAGGCUUGAGUGCGGUAGGGGAAGGUGGAAUUCCGAGUGUAGCGGUGAAAUGCGUAGAUAUUCGGAAGAACACCGGUGGCGAAGGCGACCUUCUGGGCCGCCACUGACGCUGAGGCACGAAAGCGUGGGGAGCAAACGGG